rnacentral:rRNA from 1 species
UAGGGAAUCUUCCGCAAUGGGCGAAAGCCUGACGGAGCAACGCCGCGUGAGUGAUGAAGGUUUUCGGAUCGUAAAGCUCUGUUGCCAGGGAAGAACGUCUUGUAGAGUAACUGCUACAAGAGUGACGGUACCUGAGAAGAAAGCCCCGGCUAACUACGUGCCAGCAGCCGCGGUAAUACGUAGGGGGCAAGCGUUGUCCGGAAUUAUUGGGCGUAAAGCGCGCGCAGGCGGCUCUUUAAGUCUGGUGUUUAAUCCCGAGGCUCAACUUCGGGUCGCACUGGAAACUGGGGAGCUUGAGUGCAGAAGAGGAGAGUGGAAUUCCACGUGUAGCGGUGAAAUGCGUAGAUAUGUGGAGGAACACCAGUGGCGAAGGCGACUCUCUGGGCUGUAACUGACGCUGAGGCGCGAAAGCGUGGGGAGCAAACA